rnacentral:rRNA from 1 species
AUGAGGCUGCUGCCGCCCAGUGCUGCCGCUGGGGCGUGCUACUACUCGCCUCUCCGGUCCGCUGGUGCCUCCCGCUCGGGCGGCGUACCGGGCCGACGGGGAGGCACUGUGUGCGUUCGAGCUGCUGCUCGAGUCGCCUCGCCAAGCAAACACCAAGUCUGGGAAGGCCGCAAGGGGGAGCACUGGAAAGACACGCCGCCGCCGCCGCAAGGGUUAGCCUCUGCUUCCAUGUUUCAUGAGGGCGGCGCCAUUGUUUGGACUUAUGGUGCAGCUGCUGCGUCCUGUUCGAGAGAGAAAAGAGAGGGUGAUGAGAGAGAGGGUAGAAGGAGAGGGAGAACCGCGGAGGAGCUGGCUCACCGGCGAGGUCCUGCUGCUGCUUCAGAUCUCCGUGCGGGGGGUCGGGUUCGAGCUCCUGCGAGCACUCUCGCCACUCGGGCGCCUGGUAUAUGGGAGACUGUUUUGUGCAAGGGAAACUGA